AUACGUAGGUGGCAAGCGUUGUCCGGAUUUACUGGGCGUAAAGAGUAUGUAGGCGGAUAUUUAAGUCAGAUGUGAAAUACCCCGAGCUCAACUUGGGUGCUGCAUUUCAAACUGGAGGUCUAGAGUGUCGGAGAGGUAAGUGGAAUUCCUAGUGUAGCGGUGAAAUGCGUAGAGAUUAGGAAGAACCCCCGGUGGCGAAGGCGACUUACUGGACGAUAACUGACGCUGAGGCUCGAAAGCGUGGGGAGC
rnacentral:rRNA from 1 species